rnacentral:rRNA from 1 species
AUUGAACGCUGGCGGUAGGCCUAACACAUGCAAGUCGAGCGGAGCGGCGGACGGGUGAGUAAUGCCUAGGAAUCUGCAUGGUAGUGGGGGAUAACGUCAGGAAACGGGCGCUAAUACCGCAUACUAUCAGAUGAGCCUAGGUGGGAUUAGCGAGUUGGUGGGGUAAAGGCCAACAAAGGCGACGAUCCGUAACUGGUCUGAGAGGAUGAUCAGUCACACUGGAACUGAGACACGGUUCAGACUCCUACGGGAGGCAGCAGUGGGGAAUAUUGCACAAUGGGCGCAAGCCUGAUGCAGCCAUGCCGCGUGUAUGAAGAAGGCCUUCGGGUUGUAAAGUACUUUCAGCGGGGAGGCGUUACCCGCAGAAGAAGCACCGGCUAACUCCGUGCCAGCAGCCGCGGUAAUAC